GCCUCUAUGGCUCAAUGGAACAGCGCUUGGCUACGAACCAAGAGAUUCUGGGUUCGAUCCCCAGUAGAGGCU